UGCAGUCGACGAUGAAGCUCUUCGGAGUGGAUUAGUGGCGAACGGGUGAGUAACACGUGGGCAAUCUGCCCUGUACUUUGGGAUAAGCCUUGGAAACGGGGUCUAAUACCGGAUAUCACAUUCCCUCGCAUGGGGGUUUGUUGAAAGUUCUGGCGGUACAGGAUGAGCCCGCGGCCUAUCAGCUUGUUGGUGGGGUAAUGGCCUACCAAGGCGACGACGGGUAGCCGGCCUGAGAGGGUGACCGGCCACACUGGGACUGAGACACGGCCCAGACUCCUACGGGAGGCAGCAGUGGGGAAUAUUGCACAAUGGGCGAAAGCCUGAUGCAGCGACGCCGCGUGAGGGAUGACGGCCUUCGGGUUGUAAACCUCUUUCGCCAGGGACGAAGCGCAAGUGACGGUACCUGGAUAAGAAGCACCGGCUAACUACGUGCCAGCAGCCGCGGUAAUACGUAGGGUGCAAGCGUUGUCCGGAAUUAUUGGGCGUAAAGAGCUCGUAGGCGGUUUGUCGCGUCGGCUGUGAAAACUGGAGGCUUAACCUUCAGCGUGCAGUCGAUACGGGCAGACUUGAGUUCGGUAGGGGAGACUGGAAUUCCUGGUGUAGCGG
rnacentral:rRNA from 1 species